rnacentral:rRNA from 1 species
AUACGGAGGACGCGAGCGUUAUCCGGAUUCAUUGGGUUUAAAGGGUGCGCAGGCGGCCGUGCAAGUCAGCGGUGAAAGCCCGGGGCUCAACCCCGGAAGUGCCGUUGAUACUGCAUGGCUGGAAUGCGGUCGAGGCGGGCGGAACGUGGCGGGGAGCGGGGAAAUGCGUAGAUAUGCCACAGAACGCCGAUAGCGGAGGCAGCUCGCCAGGCCUGCAUUGACGCUCGGGCACGAAAGCGUGGGGAUCGAACAGGAUUAGAUACCCUGGUAGUCCACGCCGUAAACGAUGGGCGCUCGUCGUCGGCGGCAGACAGUCGGCGGCCAAGCGAAAGCGAUAAGCGCCCCACCUGGGGAGUACGGUCGCAAGGCUGAAACUCAAAGGAAUUGGCGGGG